rnacentral:rRNA from 1 species
GGUGAACGCUGGCGGCGUGCCUAAUACAUGCAAGUCGAGCGAACAGACGAGGAGCUUGCUCCUCUGACGUUAGCGGCGGACGGGUGAGUAACACGUGGAUAACCUACCUAUAAGACUGGGAUAACUUCGGGAAACCGGAGCUAAUACCGCAUAAUAUAUUGAACCGCAUGGUUCAAUAGUGAAAGACGGUUUUGCUGUCACUAAUAGAUGGAUCCGCGCCGCAUUAGCUAGUUGGUAAGGUAACGGUUUACCAAGGCAACGAUGCGUAGCCGACCUGAGAGGGUGAUCGGCCACACUGGAACUGAGACACGGUCCAGACUCCUACGGGAGGCAGCAGUAGGGAAUCUUCCGCAAUGGGCGAAAGCUUGACGGAGCAACGCCGCGUGAGUGAUGAAGGUCUUCGGAUCGUAAAACUCUGUUAUUAGGGAAGAACAAAUGUGUAAGUAACUAUGCACGUCUUGACGGUACCUAAUCAGAAAGCCACGGCUAACUACGUG